rnacentral:lncRNA from 1 species
CCCACCCCCUUAUAUGACUAAUUGACUCCACAAAUUACAAUCAAUCAUGGAACCACAUCCAUUUGCUUCCAUUUAAACCCUAGUUGUCGUCACCAAACCACCCCUCUCCAUAUUCUAUCUUCCUAUAGGCGGUCAUCACCAUUGCUUGAGACAGUUUAUGCUUAUAUGAAUAAACUUGAGGGGGGUUUGUUGCUAAUCGAUUCCCCAAAAUUCAUCACUGCUUCAUCUAUAUCGCUCUAAAUGCUAAAUCACAUACCCUCUCUCUCUCUCUCUCUCUCUCUCUCUCGAUAACGCGCUAAUCGACUUUCCCACUAAGUAAACACCGCCAUUAAACCACAACUGAUGCUUCUAUUUAGGUUUGGGGUUUUUUUGAAAGUUAGAUUUAAUUUUGGUUUCGUCUUUUAAAUCAGGGUUUAUAAGGUAAACCAUUCAUCCUUCUUAUUUGAGGUAAACUACUCCUGUCUAAUUUGUUUCUUUUUGUUGUGUUUUAGAUGAUUAUGGUUGGGAUUCAUCCUAUAACUCACAAGUAUGUUUUUGGCCAUAAGUCUAUAACUUUAUUUUAGAAACGAAAGAACAGGGGAAGUAUGGUGUUGAAAAAUGUAUAUUUUAAUGCUAUUGUACAGACCCCAACACCACUUUCAAUCACCACCACAUAAUAUUAAAACUAUUAUUGACCAUUUACAAACAUUUUUUUGGUAAUUAGAUUGUUUUUGCCUUGAUGGUUUUGGUGUGCUUAAUGUCUAUUGGAUUUAUUUGCUUAGUGGUGGGGAAGAAAUAGCAGCAUACUUGUAUUUUAGUGUACCUUACAAUACUAUGGUGAUAUUAAAAUCAUCAAACAUGCCAUGAGUGCCACCACUUAUAUCAAUUUUGUCCCCUUUUAUACACAAGUUAGCAAAGAAUAAAAGUAUUUGGGUUGAUCACUUACAUAUUGGUGAUUUCUAUUAUGGAUUUGGUAGGUGUUUUCUUUUAGCUCUUACGCUUUGCUUUAAAAUGACAUCAUUCAUGCUUAUGUUUUUACAGGACCAUUGUAUUUGGUGCUUUUACUUUGGAGUUAAGAAAUCAUGAAAACUUUUCCUACUAUAUAGAGAGGUACAAGUAUGUUGAUGAGGUAUAUAUGUCUCUUAUCUCUCAAACUUAUGCUCAAGGAAAAUAAUAUGCAGGUGAACUCCACUGGUAAAGGAAUUUUAUAUGGGAAUAUUAGACAUAAUCAAAUUGGGGUUCAAAUCAAUGUUUUUUGUUUAAGUUCAGUUGAUGUUAAUAGAUGCCAACUAUCAUUUUUUGUUUCUUCUUAAAAUAUAUAUUUUAACUGAAAAUGUUAUUAUGUAUGUAACAGGGUGAUGAGACUAUUGAAAUUGGACAAAUAAUACACAUUUCAAAGCUAACUCCAGCCUUAAAGGGCUAAUUGUUAACCAGUGAGAUGGACCUUUGGUUACAAAGUCACCCUUCUUUCUUUGUAGCUUUAUUACAAGAAAGUUUCGAACAUUCACAUCAUAUAGCUGAUUAAAACUACUUGGAGGAUACAAGCUAAAGAGAUCAUAUUUUUAUUUAGAUACCUCAUCAUUUCUGAUGGUUUAAAGAACUUUUGAACUACAUGAAAUUUUACGGUAUCUUUUGUCAAAAUGUAAGCUCUUAUUUUCAUUUUUAUAGACAUGACGUGCAUGUUUGUAUUUCCACUUUUGGGAUCUUCAGGUAUGAAUCUUCAUGUUAUUGAUCUUUGUGAAUUACCAUAUAUAUGCUUGGAUUAAUGAUCUUAUUGUUGUGUAUGCUCUUGAUUGUUCACGGGUAAUUCCCAAAUAAUCUGAAAUGGUUGAUGUUUGACGACAAAACUUUUUGAGUAUUCCUUUGUCCAACUGAUCCUAACUGAUGAUUCUGUUUCGAUCCAAAGAAAUGCAAUUUCUUCUCUCAACCACAUGUUUUGAGUCUUGAAUAUCAAGUAUGUACUACUGAUGAAAUAUUUAUAACUUUAUAGUUUAAAACUUCUACCUAAUUAUAAUAAUUUCAUUUGAAAAUAAAGUUUUACUAUUAUAAAUAGGUAAUUUGUCUGUUAUAGUUUAGUUGGGUUGUUUAAGAAAAAGAUAUGAAAUUAAUUGAAAGAAAAAUGAUAUGAUUAAAAAAAAUACAAGAAUUAGCAUCUUACUUUCUUUGGUUUUUGCAUUAUUACAUCCAUUUUUUUGCAGGUAGGAUAUAUGAUGGUUGCAGAAAAACAUGAAAUUAAGAUGCUACAGGGCUGGUAUAUGUUUUAAGGCUUGGUCUAUGGUAUAUGGAAGAGUAACUAAACUAUGACAUGAAGUUUUAUCAUAAAUUCUAAUACAUGUAACCAUAUUUUUCUAUUGCAACCCUUUAUAUUGUGUCAUUAUUAUCAAGCAUCCAAAUUUAUUAGGUUUCUAUCUUUAUCCAAUUUACAAACUUGGCUUUAAGCAUCUACUUUAGAGGGUAUCAUCAAUAUAUGACUAUGGAUUGGUACCUAUGCUUUACCUAAAUUUAUAACUUUGGUUAAAAUUUUGAAAUCACCCAAAUUUCGUCCCUAAGAAUUUUUUUUUUCAAUAGUGGUAUAUUAGAGAAACAAAUGAAAGUACAUUAUAACAUCAUAAUUUGAUAGUUGGUUUUUAUUUUAAAGUAUGAUGUCCUAAUUGUAAAUGAGUGGAGAAAUGGCAUUAUACCUUUAAAGUUAAAUGGUUAAAUAAGAAAUUAAGAAAUAGAAGUGAAAAUACAAUGAUAUAUUAGAGAAACAAAAGAAAGUACAUUGCUAUUUAUAGCAUUGCACAUGCUUUUACUCUGUUUCUUUGACUGCACAUGCUUUUAUUUAGUUAGUAACCGUGAUGUUUCAUUUUGUUAUUUCAUAGUUUCAUUUUUUGAAUCUGUGUUUUUUGUUUCGUACGUUGACAGUAUAUUCAAUGUUUUUUUUCUCUCAUUGCAGUGUGGUGACAGUGUAUUCAAGCUUAUUUGGGUCUUUGACUAGGAUCAUUUGUGCAGUUUAUUAAUUAGAUAUCAAAGGUUCAUAGGUCUUACAAACUAUUUUAAUCUACUCUCAGUUGCAAGUUAAGGGAUGUUUGAUGAGGAGUAUUGAAAAAUAAUAACGUAAUGGUCAUUCAAUUUAAUUGUUGAUUGACUUGAUUCUCAAUUUCAUUGCUGAUUGACUUGAGUCCAAUUAGUUUUGUAUACGCGGACGUUACCAAUAAUAAUAAAAUAUUUAUUUUUGUUGAUAAUUAAAAAUAUUUAUAUUGAACAAACAAAAAUUAACUUAGCAACCUCAACUUGUUGAAGCUACAAUAUUUAAUUUAAAUAAAAAUUUACGUAAUUGUUAAAAUGACAUUUAAUAUUUUUAUUGUGCAU